rnacentral:rRNA from 1 species
AAUAUUGCGCAAUGGAGGGAACUCUGACGCAGCGACGCCGCGUGAGCGAUGAAGGUUUUCGGAUCGUAACGCUCUGUCCUUGGGGAAGAAGGCGGCCAUUUUUGGCCACUUGACGGUACCCAAGGAGGAAGCCCCGGCUAACUACGUGCCAGCAGCCGCGGUAAUACGGAGGAUCCAAGCGUUAUCCGGAUUUAUUGGGUUUAAAGGGUGCGCAGGCGGAAGAUUAAGUCGGCGGUGAAAUUUUGCAGCUCAACUGUAAAAGUGCCAUCGAUACUGGUUUUCUUGAGUGUGGAUGAAGUAGGCGGAAUUUGUGGUGUAGCGGUGAAAUGCAUAGAUAUCACGAGGAACUCCGAUUGCGCAGGCAGCUUACUAGGCCAUAACUGACGCUCAGGCACGAAGGCGUGGGGAUCAAACA